rnacentral:rRNA from 1 species
CCUACGUGAGGCAGCAGUGGGGAAUAUUGGGCAAUGGGCGCAAGCCUGACCCAGCGACGCCGCGUGAGGGAAGACGGUCUUCGGAUUGUAAACCUCUUUCAGCAGGGAAGACAAAAGGACGGUACCUGCAGAAGAAGCCACGGCUAACUACGUGCCAGCAGCCGCGGUAAUACGUAGGUGGCAAGCGUUAUCCGGAAUUACUGGGUGUAAAGGGUGUGUAGGCGGGUUUGCAAGUCAGAUGUGAAAAUUAUGGGCUCAACCCAUAACCUGCGUCUGAAACUACAGAUCUUGAGAGAAGUAGAGGCAGGCGGAAUUCCUAGUGUAGCGGUGAAAUGCGUAGAUAUUAGGAGGAACACCAGUGGCGAAGGCAUCUCACGAAUCCGCGAUUGACGCUGAUGCACGAAAGCGUGGGUAUCAAACAGGAUUAGAUACCCUAGUAGUC